rnacentral:rRNA from 1 species
GACGGAGGGGGCAAGCGUUGUUCGGAAUUAUUGGGCGUAAAGGGCUCGUAGGCGGGUCGGCAAGUCUGACGUGAAAUCUCCACUGCUCAACAGGGAGAGGCCGUUGGAUACUACCGACCUUGAGUAUGGUAGAGGAUUGUGGAAUUCCGCGUGUAGCGGUGGAAUGCGUAGAUAUGCGGAAGAACAUCGGUGGCGAAGGCGGCAAUCUGGGCCAUAACUGACGCUGAGGAGCGAAAGCCAGGGGAGCAAACGGG